GCAAACUUGGUCAUUUAGAGGAAGUAAAAGUCGUAACAAGGUUUCCGUAGGUGAACCUGCGGAAGGAUCAUUAUCGAAACAUUGCAGCUGUCAGGCUGUUGCUGGCCUCUCUUCAUUGAGGGUGCAUGUGUGCACGUCUGCAGUCGCUUUCAACCUCAUCCACCUGUGCACUACCGUAGACUUGGAUACCUAUCACGAGCGAUCGCUGCGUGGCUUUUGAGAGGUGUGUGGGCUCUUCUAGUCCCCCCACUCCUUUCGAUUUCCAGGUCUAUGUCACUUUACACUCUCUUUGUAUGUCGUUUGAAUGUCACGUUUAUCGGACUUCAAGUCCUUUAAAUCUUAAUACAACUUUCAACAACGGAUCUCUUGGCUCUCGCAUCGAUGAAGAACGCAGC
rnacentral:misc_RNA from 1 species